GGAUGUGGCUCAAGUGGUAGUGCACUCUCCUAACAUGCGUGAGGUACUGGGUUCGAUUCUCAACACCA
rnacentral:tRNA from 1 species